CAAUCACAAGGAAGGGAAGCAGAGCGGAGAUGCUGCUGCAGUCAGAAGUGUUUUCCUGGCGAGUCGUCUUCUCCUCGCUGUACUGCUGCACGCGCGUUAUCCCUGUCCACUGCGAGAACCCGAAGCUGUCCAACUUCGUGGCAGGGGCAGGGGCAGGGGCUUGCAAUUCCUUCAAGUCGACGGCUGUCGGCUUCCAAGGAGGAUGAGUUAAUCUUCUGCCUGCCGCUAGACUUGGUUCCAGUGCUGCUUAUUAGCAGCUGAAAGCAAAGCAGGCGCAAGAACACUGAACGCCCAGGAACUCGAAGGUACUACCAUUGCCAAUGCCGGGCUGCUUGGAAAAUUGGCGAUAUUGUUGAGCUGUUGAACUUCAGUGCAUAUAAACUUCAGUCAGUGAAAGGACAGGACACCAACAGGUGGACUCAUGGUCGUGGAUGACACGAUGCACCGGGGGUUCAGCAAAACAAGCUGGGCCCAGUUGAGCCAUCCACACGUGGUUCACAACUUAGGAUGCACCAACCUUCAGCAACCAUGGCCACCGUCAACAACGACCGAGUAUACAGUAGUACUCGUAUGUGAAUAGCGGCACGCACUGGCAUGGCAUCCUAGGCGCCGCCGUACGUGGAGCAAGAGGUGGCUGGAGCCCGGAGGCAGGCCGUCGGCGCGGCGCGCGUGGAGCACGAGGCCAC
rnacentral:lncRNA from 1 species